rnacentral:rRNA from 1 species
AUUGAACGCUGGCGGCAUGCUUUACACAUGCAAGUCGAACGGUAACAGGUUAAGCUGACGAGUGGCGAACGGGUGAGUAAUGCAUCGGAACGUGCCCGGUCGUGGGGGAUAACGCAGCGAAAGCUGCGCUAAUACCGCAUACGAACUGAGGAUGAAAGCGGGGGACCGUAAUGCCUCGCGCGAUCGGAGCGGCCGAUGUCAGAGUAGGUAGUUGGUGCGGUAAAGGCUCACCAAGCCGACGAUCUUUAGCUGGUCUGAGAGGACGACCAGCCGAACUGGGACAGAGUCACAGCCAAGAGUCAUGCAGGAGGUAGCGGUGUGCAGUAUUGGCUAAGGGGCACAAGACUGAUCCAGCAAUGCCGGGUGCAGGACGAAGGACUUAGGGUUGUGAUCUGAUCUUGUACGGAGCGAAAAAGCUCUCUCUAAUCGAGGGGGCUCAUGACAGUACCGUAAGAAUAAGCGCCCGCUAACUACGUGCCAGACGCCGACGUAAAAC